GGCUUUUGCUUUGCAAAAAGAAAAGAGUUUCUCUCAAUUACCUCUAAACUUUUUUCCAUCCCAAUUGGUUUCCACGAAUCAAUCUCAUCCCAGAGGAUAGGAAGAUCUCCGACGGGUGGUGUCCCAAUUCGAUGGUUUGCAAAUUUAAAGACGUCAAGAAAAGUAUGUUCUCUGUAUCUUUUAUUUAGAAUUUUGAUUCUAAAAUUUUUAAAAUGUACUGGUAUUUUAAGAUUCCCAAAUUAAUUUGAGAAAUGAUUUUGUAAAAUCUUCCGCUGCCAUAGGACUUUUAUCUUUUCAGAUAUAACUUAUACAUGUAUUUCUCUUCUUUUAUGCUCAUCCUCGUGCACUACACUCUUACCCAAGUGAUUCCUCCGCAAUGAUUUUCUUCAUCCAGACUUCCUUCUUAGGGUUUGGUUCUGUACAUAUACUCCCUCUAUAGAGCAUAUUCUAUGAUCCAAAUGUUUUUCAUUAUGUCACCGUCGUAGGGUCUUUGUUGCAUUGAUGGUACGAAAUCAAGGCCUUACAUUUACUAGUCAUCAUAUCUCAUGCACGACAAUAUAAGUAUUUCAUUCUUUUAUUAAAUCGAGUUAAAUUAGUUCAAGCAUACGCUGACAUUAUAAUAUUAGGAAAAACAAGGGGAUAACACAUAUAUGAUUUAAAUCUCUUAAGAAGGGCAUUCACAGAUUCAUUUAUGGACUUUGAAAUCCUUUUAGAAAGAUAACUACUCACCAUCACAAACUGCUAGUUUCUUCGUCUAGCCUUCAACUUCAAGUUUCUCCUUUGCACUUGCUUUGCAGGUCCUUGCCAGAUUUUGGUUGAUCUUGGUUCCUGAAGGUCUCAAUUUUUUUUCAAAUCUUUCUUCUAAAGAAGCUAAUGGCCAAAAGAACAACCUUAGAAUAACUGAAAUCCCACUAUUUAUAGCCUUUUCCAGGUGGAGUCUACCCAUGCCGAAAUGAUUGCAACUGUCGACGGUGGAAGGUGGUCCAAUACUAAAAUGUCACGUGUCUCUACUAAAUCCUUAUUUGGAAUCAGAUAGGGCAAUGAGGUCAAACUAUUCGCUGACUUUCUUACGUGUGUAAUGAUGUCAUUAUUUUAUGGAGAAGUGUGCCUAUCUCGCGGUGGGGGUUCUUAGCUUGGUCAUUUUACCACUUAGUUCUUCUUCUCGCCUAGACCACCUUCGUCGCAUGUUGUCUUAUUGCGAAGGUAGUCCAUGAUCUGGGCCUCACACCCACAAAAUUUAAAUGCAACUCCUUUAGAACAAGGCUAUUAUACACAAAAUAAUUUCUUAUUUACAUGAAUUACAAAAUGCUCUCACAUGCUGGGCUCCAAACAAAAGAAGUCUCUUUCCUGGUCAACUGAGUCGAAUGACUCGCUACACGAGAGAAACCUUCCACGAAUCUCCUAUACCUGCUAAACCCAUAAAACUACGAACUUCACAAACUGUAGGAGGUUGAGGUCAACUAAUAACAACUUCAAUCUUUGUUGGGUCUAUAGAAAUGCCACCUCUAAACACCACAACCUAGAAAAAUGUUUGCCUCAUCCAAACUCACAUUUUGUAAACUUAGCAUAUAGCUUAUUGGUUUGAAGAAUCUCCGAAACCUUAUGCAAAUGCUCCUCAUGUUCAAUCUCUAUCUUGGAGUAAACAAAGAUGUCAUCAAUAAAAACUAUUAUAAGAGUGUCUAAGAAAUCCUUAAACACCCAGUUCAUCACAUUCAUGAAUACAACGGGAGCAUUUGUCAAGCGAAAAGACCUCACAAUAAACUUAUGAUGUCCAUAUAUUGAACAAAAGGUAAUCUUAGGAAUAUCACUGUCUCUAAUCCUCAAUUGGUGGUAGCCUGAACGUAAAUCAAUCUUAGAGAACACACUGGCUCAUUCCUUGCAGUUGGGAAAAAAAUAAUCAAUCCUUGGUAAAAUAAAUUUGUUCUUAACAGCCACCUUAUUCAACACUCUAUAAUCAAUAAUACGUAAACACAUCGACCCAUCUUUCUUCUUAAUAAGAAAAACUGGUGCACCCGAAGGUGACACACUCGGUUGAAUAAAACUUUUUUCUUGUAAUUCCUGCAACUGGACCUUCAGCUCCUCCACCUCCGUUUGAGCCAUUUCGUACGGAGCUCUCGAAAUAGGAACGAAGUCUAGCUUUAACUCAAGAGCAAACUCAAAUUCGUUGUGAGGCAGUAAUCCUCUAAUGUCUACUACACUAUUCAAGAUACUUCAGGUACCCUGGUCAAGCAAUUUACUAGCCUUCAUGCCUGGGAUAACUUUGGGUAAGACCACAGUCCCAGCCCCUUUGUACUUGAAAUUAGUUUUUACAUGAGGAUUAAAACUACCUCCUUGUUGAACAGUCUAUGCUUGCAUGGUUAAAACUAAUUUCAUUUUUUUUUUCAAACUUCAAAUUGGUAACUUUUACUUCAUGGAAAACUCAAACAACUAUUUCUUAAGGUCACAUGAAGACAAUUAUUCACUAAAGUUUUCUUUGCUCCUUCCCUAACAUCUCAACUCUAAACACAACUUGAUGUGCUUAGUAUACUUGAACUAAAUCAUGCAUUUAGUUCCCUUUAAAACCACCAUCAUAACUUAUUUCUUAAAUUUUCAACCAUAAAACAGUCCAUUAAACUGAUUAUGUCAUACUCUUUUGCCCACUCGAUCAUCCCUUUGAGCACUUAUACGAACACUUCUAUGUGGCGACAUUUUUCCUAAAUUCCACCACCAAAAGUCUUUUACAAAAAAUUCAUUCAUAACAUUCAUACUUAUAUAGUGUAAUUCAGGCAAGGUCAUAUAUGCAUAAUCAUAAACUUAUAUCAUAAAACAUACAUGGCGUGUGACGAAGGACCGUGUUAGCCAUAGGGAUAAAAAUCAAAGACUUACAUUGUAAGUCAGUCUACAUAACCUAAAACUGAGGCUCUAAUACCAACUGUAAUGUCCUAAGCCCAAUAUUUGAAUCAAGAUUUAGAAUUCGGAUCUCCGACAUUCCCCUGCGUCCCCUACUACCUGGCAACAUCAUCCUUACUAUCCUUAAAAGCUUAUUAAAGUUAAAGUUUUCUCUAUAAAACCAACACGAGUCCUUUUAGCAUGCUUUGCCCUCAUUCACACGCAUCCUAGAAAUAUUCCCAAGAGGUCACCCAAUAUAGAAUUGCACCAAGCAUGCUUGCCCUCAUUCACACGCAUCCUAGAAAUAUUCACAAGAGGUCACCCAAUCUAGAAUUGCACCAAGCUAAGCACACUUAACUUUGAAGUUCCUAUAAUCAAGCCACUGAAAAGGAAGGUGCACGUUGUUGAUAUAGGAUCCCUAUUAUUCAAAUGUGAUACCAUUCAUUGAUGUCUCCCUCCUAAUCUCAGGCGUUACAAAAGGCUACCAUAACUGGAAGAUAGCCAGAACCAAUAAUUUGAAAUAAAUCUACCUAUCCUCAAUCAUAAAAAAUUAGAAAUCUGAAGAAUAUGCACCUAAAAUUCAAGGUCCUCUUUGUGCUUGUGAUAUUUCUUCAAUCAUUUAUUCCAUUUCUUCCACUUGUGGUGCAUGCGUCUCUCACAUUCUUCUUUGUUCUUCAAUCAUGUCUUUGUUCUUUAAUCUUCGAUUAUGACAUCUCAAAGUUGGCUCUUAGUUCCCUCACCUCCUUGUCGUGCAUUUCUUGAGACACUGAACUCGAUGAGCUGUACCACCCUUCCUUGACUUGGGUUUGGGGCCUCAACCAAAACAUUUUGAAUAACCAAGUCGUCUACCCAACAUUGUCUUGCAUAUAUUGUCCCUUGAUAAUGGUUGAGAACAUUUCAGAGUGGGUGCUGAAAGUAAUUCCAGAGUUUGAUUCUACACACAAAUAGUUAAGGUGUGCACUCAAAACAACUAGAAAAUAAACAACUUCGAGUCCUUCCUUGUGCAUCCUCAGCAACUUGAUUCAUGAACUGGCCACUCUUAUUGGAGUACGUUUCUUUGAAUAGGUCCACGUGUCCCGGUUCACCUCAUUGUUCACUUAACUGAAAUUGUGUAUAUCUAUGUAGUAAUGACUUGCACUCGCUAAUACGAUUGUAUGGUCAUUUUCCUCUAUUAAUCUUGUUACUCUUUGAUUGCUCCUAUUUGUAAACAACAAAAAUAAUACAUCAAAUAACUUACUUAGAACGCAAUGAUACAUUAAAAGAAGUAAGUCACCUAAAAUCCUUGACUUAGUUAGAUAGUACAUUAAGUAACUUACGAGGGGGAUAUUCCAACUGUUAAUAGAUGUCGCUCCACACCCUCUAAUGACUCCCACAUUGAGGUCAUAUAAUUCUUGUAUGGACAUCUUGUUCGUCCUAAAUCAUAGACAUGAAACUUUGCAACUUCUAAGAAUUGGGAUACUCCUUCCCUAUAUUCAACCGACAAUUUAUUUCUAAGUUUCAUCCAAUCCUUGAUCAUCAUUAAAGACCUAUAAUAUAAAUAGGUUUAAAUGUUAAAAGUUAGCAAAAAUGGAGUUACGAGGAUUUAAACUACAUAUCUCUUGAUAUCUUGAUAUUUAACACAUAUAAAUAUCAGUUAAACUAAGUUUUUUGUUGGCAAAAGUGUAGUUUUCUUAAAUAGUGUUUUAUUUAUGUAAUAAUUUGGAUGAAACUUUAUCAAAACUUAAGUACUGCUUUGUGAUUCAAAUGUGAGCCUUAAUGGGAAACUGAUCAUAGAUUUGUUAAAUAUUAUUUAAAACCUGUUUUUACGGGCUACAAACUGAUCAUAGAUUUGAACUAGGCUCAGGGAAGCUCCACGUUCCUUUUGUUUUUGUAAAUACAUCAAUGGAAGAUAUCUAUCAUUGAUUUGGGUCCCAAACGAUUACAUGAAUAAAAAAUAGAAUUAGGAAACUUGAACAAAAAUAUUUCAUAGAUGCACCUUAUUUAUAAUACACGUGGAAAAAUGAACAAUAAGACAUAGAUAGAUUAAGCAUAUAUAUAUAGCAUCCUUUAUUUUAGAUAUUCCCAUAUAAUAUUUGACAUAGAUAAAGAAAAAUGCAACAUGUGCAUCAUCAUCUAAAGUAGACAACUGAGCUAGGCAUCAAGAUAAUCAAUGCUCGGGGGGUAAACAGUAGGAGGUGCCACAUUUUCAAAUCGUAAGAGUGCCCACGAGUGAUUAACUUUAUUAUGAAGCACAGUAGCCAUAUAUAGCUUUUCAUACUUUGGGAAUGAUGGAGCCAAUAUAAAUUCAUCUACCUUCACUAGGAGGUGAUAUUUAUCUCCUCCCACAGGCACUGAACAAACCACCGCAAACCCCACACUGAUGAACUUUCUUUCUAUUCCGCUCAUGUUAUGUGUAUGCUCCUCUACUGCAAACUUUCCCAUUGCUUGCAAAUACUCAUUAUACUCAACAUUUGAAAUCUGUUUGCAAUCUUCUCGAUCAUUAGGGACUACCGUUGCAACAGAAUUAUUACUCAUUCGAAGGUAAUUAAGCAAGGCUUUAUAAUUGUUGAGGGUUUGUUCUGAUGGUAGUUGCACAUUUAUAGAGUUGUGGAUUGGUUCCUGUAAAUGUGGAUAUUGAGGAAUUUAAUUCAUAUAGUCCUAAUACUUUGUUUAGAUUG